rnacentral:rRNA from 1 species
GAUGAACGCUAGCUACAGGCUUAACACAUGCAAGUCGAACGAAGCACCUUAGACAGAAGCCUUCGGGCGGAAGACUUUGGUGACUUAGUGGCGGACGGGUGAGUAACGCGUGGGUAACCUGCCCUGUACCGGGGGACAACAGUUGGAAACGACUGCUAAUACCGCAUAAGCGCACAGCAUCGCAUGAUGCCGUGUGAAAAACUCCGGUGGUACAGGAUGGACCCGCGUCUGAUUAGCUAGUUGGUGAGGUAACGGCUUACCAAGGCAACGAUCAGUAGCCGACUUGGGAGAGUGAUCGGCCACAUUGGGACUGAGACACGGCCCAAACUCCUACGGGAGGCAGCAGUGGGGAAUAUUGCACAAUGGGGGAAACCCUGAUGCAGCGACGCCGCGUGAAGGAAGAAGUAUUUCGGUAUGUAAACUUCUAUCAGCAAGGAAGAAAAUGACGGUACUUGACUAAGAAGCCCCGGCUAAAUACGUGCCAGCCGCCGCCGUAA